CGUAGGGUGCGAGCGUUAAUCGGAAUUACUGGGCGUAAAGCGUGCGCAGGCGGUUUAGUAAGACAGGCGUGAAAUCCCCGGGCUCAACCUGGGAACUGCGCUUGUGACUGCUAAGCUAGAGUACGGCAGAGGGGGGUGGAAUUCCACGUGUAGCAGUGAAAUGCGUAGAGAUGUGGAGGAACACCAAUGGCGAAGGCAGCCCCCUGGGUCGAUACUGACGCUCAUGCACGAAAGCGUGGGUAGCAAACAGGAUUAGAUACCCUGGUGGUCCACGCCCUAAACGAUGUCAACUAGGUGUUGGGAGGGUAAAACCUUUUAGUACCGGAGCUAACGCGUGAAGUUGACCGCCUGGGGAGUACGGCCGCAAGGUUA
rnacentral:rRNA from 1 species